rnacentral:rRNA from 1 species
AUGUGCGCGAGUCAUUGGGAUUAAACUAAACCUAAAGGCGUAAUGAAAGUAAAGGUUUGCCUUGCGUAGACCGAGGGAGGAUGAGCGAUUUUCCCUUAAAAGUGAUCGCUUCGCACUCCCGGGGCGUCUCGUUCUCAUUGCGAGAAGAGGCGCACCAAAAGCGUACACGCUGGGACCCGAAAGAUGGUGAACUAUGCCUGGUCAGGACGAAGUCAGGGGAAACCCUGAUGGAGGUCCGUAGCGAUUCUGACGUGCAAAUCGAUCGUCGGAACUGGGUAUAGGGGCGAAAGACUAAUCGAACCAUCUAGUAGCUGGUUCCCUCCGAAGUUUCCCUCAGGAUAGCUGGCGCUCAUUGCGUACGAGUUUCAUCCGGUAAAGCGAAUGAUUAGAGGCAUUGGGGUCGAAACGGCCUCAACCUAUUCUCAAACUUUAAAUGGGUGAGAUCUCCGGCUUGCUCGAACUUAUGAAGCCGCGAGACUCGAAUCAGAGUGUCAAGUGGGCCAUUUUUGGUAAGCAGAACUGGCGCUGUGGGAUGAACCAAACGUCGAGUUAAAGCGCCAAAAUCGACGCUUAUGGGAUACCAUGAAAGGCGUUGGUAACUUAAGACAGCAGGA